rnacentral:rRNA from 1 species
GCUUAACACAUGCAAGUCGAGGGGCAGCGGGGGUAGCGAUACCCGCCGGCGACCGGCGCACGGGUGAGUAACGCGUAUGCAACUUGCCUAUCAGAGGGGGAUAACCCGGCGAAAGUCGGACUAAUACCGCAUGAAGCAGGGGCCCCGCAUGGGGGUAUUUGCUAAAGAUUCAUCGCUGAUAGAUAGGCAUGCGUUCCAUUAGGCAGUUGGCGGGGUAACGGCCCACCAAACCGACGAUGGAUAGGGGUUCUGAGAGGAAGGUCCCCCACAUUGGUACUGAGACACGGACCAAACUCCUACGGGGGGCAGCAGUGAGGAAUAUUGGUCAAUGGCCGAGAGGCUGAACCAGCCAAGUCGCGUGAGGGAUGAAGGUUCUAUGGAUCGUAAACCUCUUUUAUAAGGGAAUAAAGUGCGGGACGUGUCCCGUUUUGUAUGUACCUUAUGAAUAAGGAUCGGCUAACUCCGUGCCAGCAGCCGCGGUAAUACGGAGGAUCCGAGCGUUAUCCGGAUUUAUUGGGUUUAAAGGGUGCGUAGGCGGCCUUUUAAGUCAGCGGUGAAAGUCUGUGGCUCAACCAUAGAAUUGCCGUUGAAACUGGGGGGCUUGAGUAUGUUUGAGGCAGGCGGAAUGCGCGGUGUAGCGGUGAAAUGCUUAGAUAUCACGCAGAACCCCGAUUGCGAAGGCAGCCUGCCAAGCCAUGACUGACGCUGAUGCACGAAAGCGUGGGGAUCAAACAGGAUUAGAUACCCUGGUAGUCCACGCAGUAAACGAUGAUCACUAGCUGUUUGCGAUACAUUGUAAGCGGCACAGCGAAAGCGUUAAGUGAUCCACCUGGGGAGUACGCCGGCAACGGUGAAACUCAAAGGAAUUGACGGGGGCCCGCACAAGCGGAGGAACAUGUGGUUUAAUUCGAUGAUACGCGAGGAACCUUACCCGGGUUUGAACGCAUUCGGACCGAGGUGGAAACACCUUUUCUAGCAAUAGCCGUUUGCGAGGUGCUGCAUGGUUGUCGUCAGCUCGUGCCGUGAGGUGUCGGCUUAAGUGCCAUAACGAGCGCAACCCUUGCCACUAGUUACUAACAGGUAAAGCUGAGGACUCUGGUGGGACUGCCAGCGUAAGCUGCGAGGAAGGCGGGGAUGACGUCAAAUCAGCACGGCCCUUACAUCCGGGGCGACACACGUGUUACAAUGGCGUGGACAAAGGGAAGCCACCUGGCGACAGGGAGCGAAUCCCCAAACCACGUCUCAGUUCGGAUCGGAGUCUGCAACCCGACUCCGUGAAGCUGGAUUCGCUAGUAAUCGCGCAUCAGCCAUGGCGCGGUGAAUACGUUCCCGGGCCUUGUACACACCGCCCGUCAAGCCAUGGGAGUCGGGGGUACCUGAAGUCCGUAACCGAAAGGAUCGGCCUAGGGUAAAACUGGUGACUGGGGCUAAGUCAUAACAAGGUAGCCGUA